GGGUCAGUAGGUUGGUCGUGCCACCGGUACGUACUGGUCUCACUAAUUCCUCCUUCCUGAAGAACCGUAAUGCCAUUAAUUUGGUGUUGCGGGGAAACAGGACUGUUACUUUGAAAAAAUUAGAGUGUUUAAAGCAAGCUAACGCUUGAAUACAUUAGCAUGGAAUAAUGAAAUAGGACGAUCGACCCUAUUUUGUUGGUUUCUAGGAUUGACGUA
rnacentral:rRNA from 1 species